GUUUGCUUCGGCAUAUAUAUUAAAAUUGGAACGCUAUGGAGAAGAUUAGUAUGGCCCCUGAGCAAGGAUGACACACAAAUUUGUGAAGAGUUCCAAAUUUUU